AGACGGAGGGAGCAAGCGUUGCUCGGAAUUACUGGGCGUAAAGGGCGUGUAGGUGGGAUGGUAAGUCGGAUGUGAAAGCCCCGGGCUCAACUCGGGAAGUGCAUUCGAUACUACUGUUCUUGAGUGUGGUAGGGGAGAGCGGAAUUCCCAGUGUAGCGGUGAAAUGCGUAGAUAUUGGGAAGAACACCUGUGGCGAAGGCGGCUCUCUGGACCAUUACUGACGCUGAGGCGCGAAAGCCAGGGGAGCAAACGGGAUUAGAAACCCGGGUAGUCC
rnacentral:rRNA from 1 species